rnacentral:rRNA from 1 species
AUUGAACGCUGGCGGCAGGCCUAACACAUGCAAGUCGAGCGAGCGGCGGACGGGUGAGUAAUGUAUGGGGACUGCCCGAUAGAGGGGGAUAACUACUGGAAACGGUAGCUAAUACCGCAUACCAUCGGAUUACCCAGAUGGGAUUAGCUAGUGGGUGAGGUAAUGGCUCACCUAGGCGACGAUCCCUAGCUGGUCUGAGAGGAUGAUCAGCCACACGGGGACUGAGACACGGCCCAGACGCCUACGGAGGCAGCAGUGGGGAAUAUUGCACAAUGGGCGCAAGCCUGAUCCAGCCAUCCCGCGUGUAUGAUGAAGGCCUUCGGGUUGUAAAGCACUUUUGGCAGAGAAGCGUUAUCUGCAGAAUAAGCACCGGCUAACUACGUGCCAGCAGCCGCGGUAAUAC